rnacentral:rRNA from 1 species
UACGUAGGGUGCGAGCGUUGUCCGGAAUUAUUGGGCGUAAAGAGCUCGUAGGCGGUUUGUCACGUCUGCUGUGAAAACUGGAGGCUCAACCUCCAGCCUGCAGUGGGUACGGGCAGACUAGAGUGCGGUAGGGGAGAAUGGAAUUCCUGGUGUAGCGGUGGAAUGCGCAGAUAUCAGGAGGAACACCGAUGGCGAAGGCAGUUCUCUGGGCCGUAACUGACGCUGAGGAGCGAAAGCGUGGGGAGCGAACAGG